rnacentral:rRNA from 1 species
GACGGAGGGAGCGAGCGUUGUUCGGAAUCAUUGGGCGUAAAGCGCGUGUAGGCGGCUUGGCAAGUCGGGUGUGAAAUCCCGGGGCCCAACCCCGGAACUGCAUUCGAAACUGCCUCGCUAGAGUCACGGAGAGGGAGGCGGAAUUCCUGGUGUAGAGGUGAAAUUCGUAGAUAUCGGGAGGAACACCGACGGCGAAGGCGGCCUUCUGGACGGUGACUGACGCUGAGACGCGAAAGCGUGGGGAGCAAACAGG